UAAAUCUCUUUAAAUGGUGAGUCCUUCAGCUGGAUUGUGCAUAUCUCCAGUGCUCAGCAGAUAUGGCACCUGUGACCGUCUCUCUCGUUCUUCUCAUUCUUUGCUGUGCAGGAGCAUUAGCAGACACCAAUGCCAAACCCCCACCAGAAAAACCAGGAAUAUGCCCACCAAGUCUAUUAAUAGGCUGUGUUGAACCUGUGCCUGAUUUGUGCAAAUUUGACAAAGACUGCCUUGGGAAAGAGAAGUGCUGCUUCUAUAAAUGCAAUAAAGAAUGCAAGGAUCCCAUCAAGUAGAAGCCCGAGACAUGCCCACCACCAUUGAGCUUAUUUGGGGGACCAAUGCAACAUGGAAAACAUGGUGGUGACUGUCGU